CAGCAGCCGCGGUAAUACGGAGGGUGCAAGCGUUAAUCGGAAUUACUGGGCGUAAAGCGUGCGCAGGCGGUUAUAUAAGACAGAUGUGAAAUCCCCGGGCUCAACCUGGGAACUGCAUUUGUGACUGUAUAGCUAGAGUACGGCAGAGGGGGAUGGAAUUCCGCGUGUAGCAGUGAAAUGCGUAGAUAUGCGGAGGAACACCGAUGGCGAAGGCAAUCCCCUGGGCCUGUACUGACGCUCAUGCACGAAAGCGUGGGGAGCAAACAGGAUUAGAGACCCCGUAGUCCCUGUCUCUUAUACA
rnacentral:rRNA from 1 species